rnacentral:lncRNA from 1 species
GCGGGGGACACGAGGGUACACGGUGCGUGGAAGGAUGUGGGAUGGCCGGGGGAGGUGGAGCAUGGGAUGGGGGACAGCGGGAAGGGGACACGGGGCAGCAGGAGGGGCAGCACAUGGGACAUGAUGGAGUGCGUAGUACGUGUGGCACAGGACAUCAGGGAUGGCAGCAUGUAGGACACAGGACAUCAUGCAGGGUAUAGCACACGUGACAGGGGACACCAGGGAUAGGACACAGGACAUCAGGGAGCAUACAGCACAUGUGACAGGGGACAUCAGGGACGGGACACAGGACAUCACGGAGUAUAUAGCACACGUGACAGGGGACAUGAGGGAUAGGACACAGGACAUCAGGGAGCAUACAGCACAUGUGACACAGGACACCAGGGAGCAUACAGCACACGGGACACGGGACACCAGGGACAGGACACAGGACAUCAUGGAGCAUAUAGCACAUGUGACACAGGACAUCAGGGAUGGGACACAGGACAUCAGGGAGCAUAUAGCACAUGUGACACGGGACAUCAGGGACGGGACACAGGACAUCACGGAGCAUAUAGCACAUGUGACACGGGACAUCACAGAGCAUAUAGCACAUAUGACAUGGGACAUCAGUGAUAGGACACAGGACAUCAGGGAGCAUAUAGCACAUGUGACAGGGGACAUCAGUGAUGGGUCAGAGGACAUCACGGAGUAUAUAGCACAUGUGACACGGGACACCAGGGAUGGGACACAGGACAUCAGGGAGCAUAUAGCACAUGUGACACGGGACACCAGGGAUGGCAGCAUAUGGGACACAGGACAUCACGGAGUGUAUCGCACAUGUGACACGGGACAUCAGGGAUGGGACACAGGGCAUCACAGAGCAUAUAGCACAUGUGACACAGGACACCAGGGAUGGCAGCAUGUGGGACACAGGACAUCACGGAGUGUAUCGCACAUGGGACAAGUGACACAGGGACGGGACACAGGACACCACGUAGGGUAUAGCACACAGGACAUCAGGGAAGGCAGCGUGUGCGACACCACACAGCUGGCACACGGUACGUGCAGCACCAGGCACCCACAGGACCAGGUGGGCCAGCACUCAGGACAUGGGGCUCUGGGGAUAGCGGCACAUGGGACAGGACAUACGGGACACCAGACAUGA